UCGAGUAUAAUACCCGUUUUUAUAUUUUACCAUAACAAUAUUACAACCGUAAAGCCCUUUCUUCGCCGUGUCGAUAAAAACGCCAAUAUUAUUUUAGCCGUUUAGGGGCGAUUAUGAUGCUAUGCAGCAACCUUUUAUUUUAUAAAUAUAUAAAAAAAAAAAAAAAAAAAAAAAAAAAAAAAAAAAAAAAAAAAAAAAAAAAUAAUAAAAAUAUUAAUAAUAAU